rnacentral:rRNA from 1 species
UCCGUAGGUGAACCUGCGGAAGGAUCAUUACAGAAAGUAAACGCGGGUCAAACCGUGAACUUUUAAACCUUUGACGAUUGACUCACGUUGCCUCGGCGGGUUCGCCCGCCAGAGGAUACAUCAAAACUCCUGUUUCAACGGUGUUGUCUGAGCUACAAGCAAUGAAUUAAAACUUUCAACAACGGAUCUCUUGGUUCUGGCAUCGAUGAAGAACGCAGCGAAAUGCGAUAAGUAGUGUGAAUUGCAGAAUUCAGUGAAUCAUCGAAUCUUUGAACGCACAUUGCGCCCCUUGGUAUCCCGAGGGGCAUGCCUGUUCGAGCGUCAUUUCACCAUUCAAGCCUGGCUUGGUGUUGGGCGACGUCCCCUUGGGGACGCGCUUCGAAACGCUCGGCGGCGUGGCACCGGCUUUAAGCGUAGCAGAAUCUUUCGCUUUGAAAGUCGGGGCCCCGUCUGCCGGAAGACCUACUUCAAGGCUGACCUCGGCUCAGGUAGGGAUACCCGCUGAACUUAAGCAUAUCAAUAAGCGGAGGA